UGCUAUUGAUUAUUUCUUUGC
rnacentral:siRNA from 1 species